UGCGAGGCUUUGUGGAAAACCAGCCUAGCAACGCGGGCGGGGCGAGCUGUGACCGUCUGCGCGUUGGUACUGAAUGCCCCGACCCGACGUCCAAGCUUCAGACUCUUUUUCUCUGUAAUGAAAAAGAGUGUCUUGUGGAGAGAUUUUUUGAGACUCUGCAAUGGUGACAUCAAAGAGAGCAACUUCAGAAGCAGAGAUACACCCUUGGAAAAAACAAAGAAACUUCCCUUCAUCUUUGAACACCUUGAUAGGACUGACCUUGAUCUGUCAGCUGCCAAAGUGAUAAUUAGUUCCUGUUGCCUGUAAUCGAGAAAUUCUACUGACCCCUUCAAUCAAGACGACUUCAGGCAAGACAAAUUUAUUACAGGGAUACAGAAGUGUCUCAUGAAACUCAUUUCAGAUAGGCCUUCCCUGACUACCCUGUAUACAAUAGUUCCUGCCCCCUCAUCCUCUUAUCUUGCUUUACUUUUCCUCAUUGCAUUUAUCAUAUCUAGACAUAGCACCCAUUUGUUUAUUGACGUCACUGGACUGUCUCUCCACAAGAGCAGGGACUUUGAUGGCUCGCUGCUAUUUCCCCAGUAUGGCACAUUACUGAAUGGAUACUUAAAUACACGAAUACAAGAUGCUCAUAAGGGACUGGGAUUGAAAAUUAGAAAACCGUCAGGGCCUGGGCAGUUUCUCUCCCAGGGGUCAGUCUCUAGGGCUAUAUGUUUGUGCAUAUCUUCCUUUCUCUUCCCAUCUGCUUUUUUGCUUCUCUCUACAGGCUAAAAUGGAAGGAGGGAGGGAUACAGAGAAACAAGAUGCCUAAACCAGAGGUUUCUAAACCCAAUGGCUCAUUAGAAUCGUCAUUUUAAAAACAUUGAUUCCUGGGUCUCAUGAAAGACCCCCUGUAUCAAAAUUUCCACAGUGGGGCUCUGAGAUCUAUCGUUUUAAAAUCCAUGUUUAGCCAGCCAGUCACUGAAUUGUAGAUGGGUCUCUGAGAACCUCUGUUUUAAACAAAUCAAGCUUUCCCCAAAAUGUUGUUUAGAGUUGACAUCUUCAACAAAUGUUCGCUGAGAACACGUAAUAUUAGCCAGGCAUAGGUGUAGGUGCUAAGAGACUAGGGAAGAAAACUAAAGUCUUUGACAUUGUUGUGGUUGAUCCCAUACACAGGAAAAGGGAGGGAAAUGCAUUCUUUUUUUUUUAA